AAACAACUGCGUGAGAAGUUGGAGGAAAUGGAAAAAGAAGUAAAGAGCAAGGAAGAAGACAUCAACAACAACAAUACUCAACUUAGCGAAUUAAAAGACCAGUUACGUAGUCUCAUAGCAGAAUGCGAAGAUCUCUUUAUUGUUUACGACGAAAAAAGAAACAAGGUUUUAGAGCUUAAGGAAAUCGCAUGAAAUCUUACAACUGGAGCACUGAUGCUGCAUGGGAUUCAGCUCCUACAACAUGGUCAGAUGAUACCACCGUUGAAGGUAAUCUUUCCUCUUUUUCUGCUGAUUUAAUUUUUCAGUGGAAAGAUGGAUUUGUUUUCACUGCAAUAUAUUGAUAAUCUUUAAAUAUUAGCC
rnacentral:lncRNA from 1 species